rnacentral:rRNA from 1 species
GACGAAGGUGGCAAGCGUUGUUCGGAAUCACUGGGCAUAAAGCGCACGUAGGCGGCGACGUAAGUUGGGUGUGAAAUCCCUCGGCCCAACCGAGGAACUGCGCCCAGUACUGCGUUGCUUGAGGAUCCAAGGGGUGCAUGGAAUUCCCGGUGGAGCGGUGAAAUGCGUAGAUAUUGGGAGGAACACCAGUGGCGAAGGCGGCUCACUGGACCGGUACUGACGCUGAGGCGCGAAAGCGUGGGGAGCAAACAGG